rnacentral:tRNA from 1 species
AGUAAAGUCAGCUAAAUUAAGCUAUCGGGCCCAUACCCCGAAUAUGUUGGCUAAACCCCCUCCUCUACUA